rfam:Canis lupus familiaris chromosome 9, whole genome shotgun sequence.
UAUUAGGAUUAAAAGAGGAGAUACAAGUGCUGUGUUGUCGUUCCCCCUGCUCAAAAUAAAGCUGUUUCUUAACUAUACCUGUCUGCUAUACCCCUGUAGCAGCCAGGGACGCUUGGUCUCAUACAU